CGGAGCGGAUUUUUGAAAAUCGAACGCUGCGUUCGCUUAUCGAACAGCGGAGCGGAAUGGAGUCUGAUCGAACAGCCGGACUGACUCGGUAUUGAACCGGGCCGCGGAGGAGCGCAGCGAUCGACCGGCGAUAUCUACGCUUUGAUGUGCUGGAGAUCUAAACCCGGAGGCGUGCUGAUGGCGCCUCUACAGGCCGACACGAGAACUGCAGGCCGACAUAUUUAAGAGUAAAUUCUGGUUUGGGACCCGGUGGAUCCGGAGUCUAUCCCAGGAACACUGUGUCUGAGGCAGAAAUCAAUCCUGGAGAGGUCUCAAGAUUAAUUCACAAACUUACUCACAUCUAGGGACAUUUUAGCCAAGCUAUUCCACCUACUGACAUUUUAGAUCAGCUCAGAAAAACCCAAACAAGGAAAACUCAUCCUGUGUAGUAACCUGAGCUCAGGAUAGAACCCUGUGUGUUUUGGAAGAAUUCUGAAAUACAAUGCGUUCUUAAAGCGUAUGAAAUAAAAGAUGUGCCUCGUAAUGUCAGCAACUGAAUGGGGGGGGGGGUAUUUUGCAUAUUAAUUAAAAAUUAGGAUAAUUUUAUACACAAUAUCUGAACAUCUGUUACGAUGAAGCUCAUACUGUGUACGGAAUAAACAAGACACAGGAUUUAAAGUGAGAAAUUGACAAUUUUUUAGACAUUUUAAUCCAAAUUCAUUUUAUUACCCCAAAUUGGAUAUCUAAUAAACUCAAUAUAAUGAAUAGCAAAAACAAACGAUGUAGCAAAACCACAAAUCUGAUAAUACUGUCAUAAAGUGGCAAUAAAGUAUAAAUCACAGUUUUUUAAAUAUAACAAAUCUGUAAAUGUGCUUCCCAUGUACAUUCAUAUUACAUUAUAUGCACAAAAGUUGGUGGACACCUGACCAUUAGAUUUGAAGAGAGCAUUUUGAAUUUUGAACAUUUGACCACUUGCUCUUAUAAUAGCUUCCACUUUUCUGUUCCACUAAAUUUUAGAGUGUUCUUGUGGAAAAUUAUGGAGAUUCAUUCAGCUACAAGGAUGUUUAUAGAGAAGUACUGAUGAAG